GCAGCAGCCUCAGUAACACGUCCCCUUGGAGACUAGGAGCAACACGUGAUGCGUCUACUUAUCAGGUUUAGUGAGCAGCGCCUAGGAACGACCUAAGUGGGAGAAAGAGAAGAAAAAGUGAGUUUUCUCCCCGGUGUCGACUGUCGACAUUCUCCAUCGCAGGCCUACUUCUUUUUGAGGAGAAACCUGAGGGGGGUUAAAUUAUUGAGUUGACGAACUUUGAACAUCAUCAGAAACGCCAUUUUGAUUGCUCUCCGGAACAAGUUUGCAGUUUUUUCUAAGUCCAUCAUCUCCAUUCACCAUCAUCUAUGCCUCGGCGCAAGCAGCCCAACCCCGACAAAGUCAAACUAUGAACAGAAGCUGCUGAGUCUGUGUCUCUGAGUUGCCCUCUCACCUAUCCGACUGUGACCCCACCACUCCAUGACCCUUGAACCCUACGGCCCCCAACUCACAAACGGACAUGAACAGCGGCUCCACUGAACAGACGACGACGACUGUCGGAGGCGGGGCCACCGCUGCCAUGCCGACGGACAUGGUCCAAUCAGACGCGGCGCACGAGGACCUCCAAGGGACGGCCGAGCAAGAGAACGAGCUGCGAGGUGAUGAGAGGGCGCCCCGGCAGGGUGAUGUAAGCGCCCGGGAGGAGGAGGAGGAGGAGGAGGAGG